rnacentral:rRNA from 1 species
CCUACGGGAGGCAGCAGUAGGGAAUCUUCCACAAUGGACGAAAGUCUGAUGGAACAACGCCGCGUGAGUGAAGAAGGGUUUCGGCUCGGAAAGCCUUGGUGGUAGUGAAGAACGAUAGAGGUAGUAACUGGCCUUUAUUUGACGGUAAUUACUUAGAAAGUCACGGCUAACUACGUGCCAGCAGCCGCGGUAGUAUGUAGGUGGCAAGCGUUGUCCGGAUUUAUUGGUCGGAAAGCGAGUUCAGGCGGUUCAAUAAGUUUGAUGGGAAAGCCUUCGGCUCAACCGGAGAAUUGCAUCAGAAACUGUUGAAAUUGAGUGGAGAAGAGGGGAGGGGAACGCCAUGUGUAGCGGUGGAAUGCGUAGAUAUAUGGAAGAACACCAGUGGCGAAGGCGGCUCUCUGGUCUGCAACUGACGCUGAGGCUCGAAAGCAUGGGUAGCGAACAGGAUUAGAUACCCUAGUAGUC